CCAUCUCUCUCUCUCUCUCUCUCUCUCCAAUUUCCACCAUUGUUGCUCAAGAUUUGAGCUUACAGUGGGAGUUCUUGGAGGGAGAUUUUGCACAAUCUUUGUAAAAGGAAGUUGGAGAGCUCGUUGCACUCUUCGCACCAGUAGUCUCGGAUUCUUGAUCCGGCAAGCUUGCAUUUUCAGACUUGCUUUUCAUCAUAUUUGAGAGGUAACGCGAUCCUUCCAGCUUGCAACUGGUGAAGUGGGCUGAUGUGCUAUAUAGAGGUAAUGUGUUCCUUCCAGUUAGCACUUGGUAAAGCAGGCUGUGCUAUACAGAGGUAAUGCAUUCCUUCCGGCUACUAACCGGUAAAGCAGACUGACAUGGUUCUUGGCGAGACCACGAUGGUAAUAUGGGGCUUGGCAAGGUGACAAGUUGUUUAUUUUAUUACGAGAUUUUAUUGCUAAUGUGUGUAUAUUUGUAGAGAUUAUUAUUGACGAAAAUAUGUAUUGAGAAUAUAGUUGAAAUUGUGUUAUGAGGUGGAUUGAUUCUAUUGAGAAUAUCAUUGUUAUGUUUAUUAA